ACCCACCCGUUUUUCGUCCUUGGGGUUUUCCUGCGGCUGAAAUCUCUGUCCUUCUGCUUUGAAGGGAGCUCUUUUUUUGUCAGUGUGUGCGAUCCACUGUGUCUCCUGCAAACCAAGUGCUGUCCAUGGUAUAGUGAUGAAUUUGCUGGUGGUGGCUGCUGCCUCUGCAUUUCUGACCAGAGUUUCCGGGACGGAUGUGAAAAAAAUGGCCUCAGGCAUGGAUAUGAUGGAAGGAACGCGGUGAGCAAGGUCCAAUGAGAGAGGGCAGGGAGGUGAAGCCAGGGGCUGCACCUAGUGUUGGGUGGUGGCUGCUCGUCCGUGGUUGGUUUGUGUGUCUCUUGCAGGGUGGCAGAUGGCCAUGCAUUGUGUUGGCGUGUUUGUUGCAGGUCCUUGUUUUCAUUACCUGAAAGAGUAAGGUAAUGGGAGACGUGCGACUGCUCUCCUGGUAAGGUCAUUUAUGCCCACCCUUUCUUCAUGCUGUUUUUCCUGGGGCUGAAAUUUACAUUUCUGGUCUUUGAAGGCAGCUCUUCUGUCAGUGUGUGCAAUCCACUGUGGCUCCUGCAUCCCAAGUGCUGGCCGUGGUACAGUGAUGAAUUUGCUGGUGUUGGCCGCUGUCUCUGCAUUUUUGACCAGGGUUUCCCAGAUGGCUGUCAGAAACACUGCAUCAGGCUUGGAUAUCCUGCAAGUAAUGCGGUGAGCAGCGUGCAUGAGGGAGGGCAGGGCAGUGAAGCCACGGGCGGCCUUUACGGUCAGUUGGUGGCUGCUUCUCCGUGGUUGGUUUGUGUGUCUCUUGCAGCCUGGCAGAUGGGCAUGAGCUGCCGUGUUUGUUGCAAGUCCUUGUCCUCUGCCUGAAAGAGUAAGGAAAUGGGAGACCUGAGCCUUCUCUGAUGGUAAGGUCAUUUAUGCCCACCCGUUUUUCAUCCUCGUGGUUUUCCUGCGGCUGAAAUCUCCGUCCUUCUGCUUUGGAGGGAGCUCUUUUUUUGUCAGUGUGUGCAAUCCACUGUGUCUCCUGCAAACCAAGUGCUGUCCAUGGUAUAGUGAUGAAUUUGCUGGUGGUGGCUGCUGCCUCUGCAUUUCUGACCAGAGUUUCCGGGACGGAUGUGAAAAAAAUGGCCUCAGGCAUGGAUAUGAUGGAAGGAACGCGGUGAGCAAGGUCCAAUGAGAGAGGGCAGGGAGGUGAAGCCCGGGGCUGCACCUAGUGUUGGGUGGUGGCUGCUCGUCCGUGGUUGGUUUGUGUGUCUCUUGCAGGGUGGCAGAUGGCCAUGCAUUGUGUUGGCGUGUUUGUUGCAGGUCCUUGUUUUCAUUACCUGAAAGAGUAAGGUAAUGGGAGACGUGCGACUGCUCUCCUGGUAAGGUCAUUUAUGCCCACCCUUUCUUCAUGCUGUUUUUCCUGGGGCUGAAAUUUACAUUUCUGGUCUUUGAAGGCAGCUCUUCUGUCAGUGUGUGCAAUCCACUGUGGCUCCUGCAUCCCAAGUGCUGGCCGUGGUACAGUGAUGAAUUUGCUGGUGUUGGCCGCUGUCUCUGCAUUUUUGUCCUGAGAUUCCAGGAUGGACGUCAAAAAACUGCAUCAGGCAUGGAUAUCAUGCAAGUAAUGCGGUGAGCAAGGUCCAGUGAGAGAGGGCAGGGUGGUGAAGGCCCUGGCUGCCUUUAGGGAUGGAUGGUAGCUGCUUGUAUGUGGUUGGUUUGUGUGUCUCUUGCAGCCUGGCAGAUGUCCAUGAAUUGACGUGUUUGUUGCAAGUGCUUGUUUUCUGCCGGACAGAGUAAGGUAAUGGGAGACCUGCGGCUGCUACACUGGUAAGGUCAUUUAUGCCCACCCGUUUUUCAUCCUCGUGGUUUUCCUGGGGCUGAAAUCUCCGUCCUUCUGCUUUCGAGGGAGCUCUUUUUUUGUCAGUGUGUGCAAUCCGCUGUGUCUCCUGCAAUCCCAUUACUGUCCCAGAUAGAGUGAUGAAUUUGCUGGUGUUGGCCGCUGUCUCUGCAUUUUUGACCAGGGUUUCCCAGAUGGCUGUCAGAAACACUGCAUCAGGCUUGGAUAUCCUGCAAGUAAUGCGGUGAGCAGCGUGCAUGAGGGAGGGCAGGGCAGUGAAGCCACGGGCGGCCUUUACGGUCAGUUGGUGGCUGCUUCUCCGUGGUUGGUUUGUGUGUCUCUUGCAGCCUGGCAGAUGGGCAUGAGCUGCCGUGUUUGUUGCAAGUCCUUGUCCUCUGCCUGAAAGAGUAAGGAAAUGGGAGACCUGAGCCUUCUCUGAUGGUAAGGUCAUUUAUGCCCACCCGUUUUUCAUCCUCGUGGUUUUCCUGCGGCUGAAAUCUCUGUCCUUCUGCUUUGAAGGGAGCUCUUUUUUUGUCAGUGUGUGCAAUCCACUGUGUCUCCUGCAAACCAAGUGCUGUCCAUGGUAUAGUGAUGAAUUUGCUGGUGGUGGCUGCUGCCUCUGCAUUUCUGACCAGAGUUUCCGGGACGGAUGUGAAAAAAAUGGCCUCAGGCAUGGAUAUGAUGGAAGGAACGCGGUGAGCAAGGUCCAAUGAGAGAGGGCAGGGAGGUGAAGCCAGGGGCUGCACCUAGUGUUGGGUGGUGGCUGCUCGUCCGUGGUUGGUUUGUGUGUCUCUUGCAGGGUGGCAGAUGGCCAUGCAUUGUGUUGGCGUGUUUGUUGCAGGUCCUUGUUUUCAUUACCUGAAAGAGUAAGGUAAUGGGAGACGUGCGAGUGCUCUCCUGGUAAGGUCAUUUAUGCCCACCCUUUCUUCAUGCUGUUUUUCCUGGGGCUGAAAUUUACAUUUCUGGUCUUUGAAGGCAGCUCUUCUGUCAGUGUGUGCAAUCCACUGUGGCUCCUGCAUCCCAAGUGCUGGCCGUGGUACAGUGAUGAAUUUGCUGGUGUUGGCCGCUGUCUCUGCAUUUUUGUCCUGAGAUUCCAGGAUGGACGUCAAAAAACUGCAUCAGGCAUGGAUAUCAUGCAAGUAAUGCGGUGAGCAAGGUCCAGUGAGAGAGGGCAGGGUGGUGAAGGCCCUGGCUGCCUUUAGGGAUGGAUGGUAGCUGCUUGUAUGUGGUUGGUUUGUGUGUCUCUUGCAGCCUGGCAGAUAUCCAUGAAUUGACGUGUUUGUUGCAAGUGCUUGUUUUCUGCCGGACAGAGUAAGGUAAUGGGAGACCUGCGGCUGCUCUCCUGGUAAGGUCAUUUAUACCCACCCGUUUUUCGUCCGUGGGGUUUUCCUGCGGCUGAAAUCUCUGUCCUUCUGCUUUGAAGGGAGCUCUUUUUUUGUCAGUGUGUGCGAUCCACUGUGUCUCCUGCAAACCAAGUGCUGUCCAUGGUAUAGUGAUGAAUUUGCUGGUGGUGGCUGCUGCCUCUGCAUUUCUGACCAGAGUUUCCGGGACGGAUGUGAAAAAAAUGGCCUCAGGCAUGGAUAUGAUGGAAGGAACGCGGUGAGCAAGGUCCAAUGAGAGAGGGCAGGGAGGUGAAGCCAGGGGCUGCACCUAGUGUUGGGUGGUGGCUGCUCGUCCGUGGUUGGUUUGUGUGUCUCUUGCAGGGUGGCAGAUGGCCAUGCAUUGUGUUGGCGUGUUUGUUGCAGGUCCUUGUUUUCAUUACCUGAAAGAGUAAGGUAAUGGGAGACGUGCGACUGCUCUCCUGGUAAGGUCAUUUAUGCCCACCCUUUCUUCAUGCUGUUUUUCCUGGGGCUGAAAUUUACAUUUCUGGUCUUUGAAGGCAGCUCUUCUGUCAGUGUGUGCAAUCCACUGUGGCUCCUGCAUCCCAAGUGCUGGCCGUGGUACAGUGAUGAAUUUGCUGGUGUUGGCCGCUGUCUCUGCAUUUUUGUCCUGAGAUUCCAGGAUGGACGUCAAAAAACUGCAUCAGGCAUGGAUAUCAUGCAAGUAAUGCGGUGAGCAAGGUCCAGUGAGAGAGGGCAGGGUGGUGAAGGCCCUGGCUGCCUUUAGGGAUGGAUGGUAGCUGCUUGUAUGUGGUUGGUUUGUGUGUCUCUUGCAGCCUGGCAGAUGUCCAUGAAUUGACGUGUUUGUUGCAAGUGCUUGUUUUCUGCCGGACAGAGUAAGGUAAUGGGAGACCUGCGGCUGCUCUCCUGGUAAGGUCAUUUAUGCCCACCCGUUUUUCAUCCUCGUGGUUUUCCUGGGGCUGAAAUCUCCGUCCUUCUGCUUUGGAGGGAGCUCUUUUUUUGUCAGUGUGUGCAAUCCACUGUGUCUCCUGCAAUCCCAUUACUGUCCCAGAUAGAGUGAUGAAUUUGCUGGUGUUGGCCGCUGUCUCUGCAUUUUUGACCAGGGUUUCCCAGAUGGCUGUCAGAAACACUGCAUCAGGCUUGGAUAUCCUGCAAGUAAUGCGCCUGGCAGAUGGGCAUGAGCUGCCGUGUUUGUUGCAAGUCCUUGUCCUCUGCCUGAAAGAGUAAGGAAAUGGGAGACCUGAGCCUUCUCUGAUGGUAAGGUCAUUUAUGCCCACCCGUUUUUCAUCCUCGUGGUUUUCCUGCGGCUGAAAUCUCUGUCCUUCUGCUUUGGAGGGAGCUCUUUUUUUGUCAGUGUGUGCAAUCCACUGUGUCUCCUGCAAACCAAGUGCUGUCCAUGGUAUAGUGAUGAAUUUGCUGGUGGUGGCUGCUGCCUCUGCAUUUCUGACCAGAGUUUCCGGGACGGAUGUGAAAAAAAUGGCCUCAGGCAUGGAUAUGAUGGAAGGAACGCGGUGAGCAAGGUCCAAUGAGAGAGGGCAGGGAGGUGAAGCCAGGGGCUGCACCUAGUGUUGGGUGGUGGCUGCUCGUCCGUGGUUGGUUUGUGUGUCUCUUGCAGGGUGGCAGAUGGCCAUGCAUUGUGUUGGCGUGUUUGUUGCAGGUCCUUGUUUUCAUUACCUGAAAGAGUAAGGUAAUGGGAGACGUGCGACUGCUCUCCUGGUAAGGUCA